rnacentral:rRNA from 1 species
CCUACGGGUGGCAGCAGUAGGGAAUCUUUCACAAUGGGCGAAAGCCUGAUGGAGCAACGCCGCGUGCAGGAUGAAGGCCUUCGGGUUGUAAACUGCUUUUAUAAGCGAGAAAUAUGAUGGUAACUUAUGAAUAAGGAUCGGCUAACUACGUGCCAGCAGCCGCGGUCAUACGUAGGAUCCGAGCAUUAUCCGGAGUGACUGGGUGUAAAGAGUUGCGUAGGGGGCAUAAUAAGUAGCUAGUGAAAUCUGGUGGCUCAACCAUUCAGACUAUUAGCUAAACUGUUAAGCUCGAGACCGUUAGGAGUAACUGGAAUGUCUAGUGUAGGAGUGAAAUCCGUAGAUAUUAGAAGUAACACCAAUAGCGUAGGCAGGUUGCUGGGACGGUUCUGACACUAAGGCACGAAAGCGUAGGGAGCAAACGGGAUUAGAUACCCUAGUAGUC